rnacentral:rRNA from 1 species
GACGAACGCUGGCGGCGUGCUUUACACAUGCAAGUCGAACGGAUCUUGCUCAGCUUGCUGGGUUUGGUUAGUGGCGAACGGGUGAGUAACACGUGAGUAACCUGCCCCAGACUCUGGGAUAACUGUCGGAAACGGUGGCUAAUACUGGAUGUGACGCGCUCAUGCAUGUGGGUGUGUGGAAAGGUGCCCUUUGGGGUUUCUGGUUUGGGAUGGGCUCGCGGCCUAUCAGCUUGUUGGUGGGGUAGUGGCCUACCAAGGCUUUGACGGGUAGCCGGCCUGAGAGGGUGACCGGCCACACUGGGACUGAGACACGGCCCAGACUCCUACGGGAGGCAGCAGUGGGGAAUAUUGCACAAUGGGCGGAAGCCUGAUGCAGCGACGCCGCGUGAGGGAUGACGGCCUUCGGGUUGUAAACCUCUUUCAGUGGGGAAGAAGCCGCUUUGGUGGUGACGGUACCUGCAGAAGAAGCGCCGGCUAACUACGUG